rnacentral:tRNA from 1 species
GUUAAGGUGGCAGGGCCCGGCAACU